GACAAACGCUGGCGGUAUGCCUAACACAUGCAAGUCGAACGGACAGAACAGGGAAGCUUUUCGGAGUGGAACUGGAAAGUUAGUGGCGGAUGGGUGAGUAACGCGUGGACAACCUACCUUGUAAAGGGGAAUAACCUCGAGAAAUCGAAGCUAAUACCCCAUAAUAACCUUGCUUCGCAUGAAGUAAGGAGGAAAGGCGGCCUUAGCGCUGUCGAUACAAGAUGGGUCCGCGUCUGAUUAGCUAGUUGGUGAGGUAAAGGCUCACCAAGGCGACGAUCAGUAGCCGGCCUGAGAGGGUGAACGGCCACAUUGGGACUGAGACACGGCCCAAACUCCUACGGGAGGCAGCAGUGGGGAAUCUUCCGCAAUGGGCGAAAGCCUGACGGAGCAAUGCCGCGUGAGUGAAGAAGGCCUUCGGGUUGUAAAACUCUGUCCUUGUCGAAGAGAGAGUGUUGUAGUAACUGACAAUACUAGGACGGUAGAUGAGGAGGAAGCCCCGGCUAACUAUGUG
rnacentral:rRNA from 1 species